GAGGUGGGAGGAUCACUUGAGCCUGAGAGGUGGAGGCUGCAGUGAGCUGAGAUCGUACCGCUGCACUCCAGCCUGAGUGACAGAGCAAGGCCCUGUCUC
rnacentral:miRNA from 1 species